rnacentral:rRNA from 1 species
AACGAACGCUGGCGGCAUGCCUAACACAUGCAAGUCGAACGAGACCUUCGGGUCUAGUGGCGCACGGGUGCGUAACGCGUGGGAACCUGCCCUUAGGUUCGGAAUAACUCCCCGAAAGGGGUGCUAAUACCGGAUAAUGUCUUCGGACCAAAGAUUUAUCGCCUUUGGAUGGGCCCGCGUUGGAUUAGCUAGUUGGUAGGGUAAAAGCCUACCAAGGCGACGAUCCAUAGCUGGUCUGAGAGGAUGAGCAGCCACACUGGGGCUGAGACACGGCCCAGACUCCUACGGGAGGCAGCAGUGGGGAAUAUUGGACAAUGGGCGAAAGCGUGAUCCAGCAAUGCCGCGUGAGUGAUGAAGGCCUUAGGGUUGUAAAGCUCUUUUACCCGGGAUGAUAAUGACGGUACCGGGAGAAUAAGCUCCGGCUAACUCCGUG